UCUGGCCAUUAUCGCGCCCCAGCCAAUAGUCUCUGCAAUCUGCGGCGCGCGCUCGCCUCGCCUCUGCCGGGCUGCGUUCAUCACAACCACCACGCCAGCGCAGGGCCCUCCCCCAUCCAAACCAUCUCCACACUCUCUCGCCAGCUCCCCGCCGCCGUCUCCACACUCUCACCGUCUCGGCCGCGGCGGCGGGAGCAGAUGGCGACGGCGAGCGGCCUCUCCGCCCCUCUGCAGCUCCUCUCGUUCCGGCGGGCGCCCGCCAAGAACCUCUCGCCGCGGAGAGCAGCCGCGGGAGCUCUGUCAGGUUCACUUAUUGUGAAGAGAUUUUCUUUAUGCAACGGGAGAAGUCAUCACCAAUUUUUACCAUUGAAACAAAGGGGAAGGUUGCAAGCAGCAGUACUACCUGUUACUCCACCACUGCUUGAUGAUGAGGAAAAAAGGAAGCAAAUGUCUGAAGAUUAUGGUUUCAAUCAAAUUGGAGAACAGCUACCAGAUAACAUUACUCUUAAAGAUGUCAUGGAUACUCUGCCUAAAGAGGUAUUUGAAAUCGAUGAUGUAAAGGCUUGGGCAUCUGUUCUGAUAUCAGUUACUUCAUAUGCUUUCGGUCUUUUCCUUAUCUCAAAAGCUCCAUGGUAUCUUCUUCCCGUUGCUUGGGCAUGGGCUGGUACAGCAGUGACUGGGUUUUUUGUCAUAGGUCAUGAUUGUGCACAUAAAUCAUUUUCAAGGAAUAAGCUAGUGGAGGAUAUCGUUGGAACUCUAGCUUUCCUGCCAUUAAUUUACCCUUAUGAACCUUGGAGAUUUAAGCAUGACAGACAUCACGCCAAGACAAAUAUGUUAGUAGAAGAUACUGCAUGGCAACCUGUUUGGCAAAACGAAAUUGAAUCGUCUUCUUUCCUAAGGAAGGCAAUUAUAUUUGGUUAUGGUCCUAUCAGGCCAUGGAUGUCUAUUGCUCACUGGUUGAUGUGGCACUUUGAUCUAAAAAAAUUCCGGCCAAAUGAACUCCCUAGGGUGAAGAUAAGUUUGGCGUGUGUCUUUGCAUUCAUGGCAAUUGGAUGGCCCCUAAUCAUUCUUCAAUCAGGAAUAGCUGGAUGGUUCAAGUUCUGGUUCAUGCCAUGGAUGGUUUAUCACUUUUGGAUGAGCACCUUUACAAUGGUGCAUCACACUGCUCCUCAUAUACCUUUCAAAUCAUCAAAAGAGUGGAAUGCUGCACAGGCGCAAUUAAACGGCACAGUUCACUGUAGCUAUCCUCGAUGGAUAGAGAUCCUUUGCCAUGACAUAAAUGUACAUGUCCCGCACCAUAUUUCUCCGAGAAUUCCAAGUUAUAACCUUCGUGCUGCCCACGACUCCAUUAAACAGAACUGGGGCAAGUAUAUCAACGAGGCCAGCUGGAAUUGGCGGUUGAUGAAGACAAUACUGACUACGUGCCAUGUGUAUGACAAAGAGAGAUACUACGUUUCUUUUGACGAGCUCGUACCUGAGGAAUCUCAACCAAUAAGAUUCCUUAAGAAGUUCAUGCCAGAUUAUGCUUGAUGCAAUUGCUACCAUUGACUAGUCAGAGAGUAUUUAGACAUUAAGAACAAUCACAACCAUUAUUACACUACAAAAGGCUCAUCGCAGAUGGCUCAGACAUGGCUUUUAUUGUGAGUCGGCAGGGAUACUCCUUAUUGCAGAUGGCUUUUAUUGAAAGCUGCCUGGAGUUUUACCUUUUCUCUUGACCUCAGAUGCUCAAACAAGUAGAAACAACAUAUAACAGUAUAUUAUAAUGUCAUAUAUUAAACAUGCAAGAGGAAACAGCGUAUGUAUUUCACAUUCAUUCUCAUUCAAACAUCAGCAAAGUGACAGAACAAUAUUUAUAUUGCAUCAGUAAAAUGGCAACGAUAUCGCAAGCUCAAGAAAUGAAGUUCCAGGCCAUUAUCUGCCCAUCUCCAUUGCGCCGCAGCAAAGGUGAAGAAGAUUUGUGUCUUCCUCUCGUCUUCUUUGUUGUGCCACACCAGAUGUACUAUUUCCAUCUGAGGGUUUUAUCAUUCACUCGAUGAUUCCAUCAAUGAUCAAUCCAUGGAUGGUUAGUCAAUCUACCUGAAAAAAUUUCAUCAUCACCUUGUAGAAAUGGUGUGGCUAGCGCUCGGUCGAUUGAGACUUCGUUAAGUCUCACUUGGCUGACAACCUUGUAAAUCGGACAUUUUUAGCUUCGUUCGUAUCUGCGUGUUGCUUUUUCCGGCUUGCCGGUGCUGUUAGCGGCGACGCCUGCGGGUGUCAUUUUCCUCUUGAAGGUGCUGUUGUGGCCUUCUCCUGCGCCCCACUUCGAGUUUAGGGGAAACCCUAGGUCCGGUUCUUCGGAUCGGAUGGCAAUGGUGCCAUAGCGUCAUUUUCCUUCAUGAAGGUGCUAUCUUGGUCGCUCGCGGUAUCCCUAGUGUUAGCUUUUGGCGAUGGUAGACUUCAUGUUGGUUUGUCUUGCUCCUCUAAACUGGGGCUUCGUGGGUUUAGCUGUGUUGUGUCCUUGGUUUGGACCGAGCAUCUCUGGUCCUUCUGCUCUAGGCACCAUGUAUGCGUCUACUUGCGUUUAUGGUAUGUGUUGUAUCUCC
rnacentral:rRNA from 1 species